GGUUAAGCGACUAAGCGUACACGGUGGAUGCCCUGGCAGUCAGAGGCGAUGAAGGGCGUGCUAAUCUGCGAUAAGCGCCGGUAAGGUGAUAUGAACCGUUAUAACCGGCGAUACCCGAAUGGGGAAACCCAGUGUGAUUCGUCACACUAUCAUUAACUGAAUCCAUAGGUUAAUGAGGCGAACCGGGGGAACUGAAACAUCUAAGUACCCCGAGGAAAAGAAAUCAACCGAGAUUCCCCCAGUAGCGGCGAGCGAACGGGGAGGAGCCCAGAGCCUGAAUCAGCAUGUGUGUUAGUGGAAGCGUCUGGAAAGGCGCGCGAUACAGGGUGACAGCCCCGUACACAAAAGCGCAUGUGCUGUGAGCUCGAUGAGUAGGGCGGGACACGUGGUAUCCUGUCUGAAUAUGGGGGGACCAUCCUCCAAGGCUAAAUACUCCUGACUGACCGAUAGUGAACCAGUACCGUGAGGGAAAGGCGAAAAGAACCCCGGCGAGGGGAGUGAAAAAGAACCUGAAAUCGUGUACGUACAAGCAGUGGGAGCACAGGUUUACCUGUGUGACUGCGUACCUUUUGUAUAAUGGGUCAGCGACUUAUAUUCUGUAGCAAGGUUAACCGAAUAGGGGAGCCGGAGGGAAACCGAGUCUUAAUUGGGCGUUAAGUUGCAGGGUAUAGACCCGAAACCCGGUGAUCUAGCCAUGGGCAGGUUGAAGGUUGGGUAACACUAACUGGAGGACCGAACCGACUAAUGUUGAAAAAUUAGCGGAUGACCUGUGGCUGGGGGUGAAAGGCCAAUCAAACCGGGAGAUAGCUGGUUCUCCCCGAAAGCUAUUUAGGUAGCGCCUCGUGAAUUCAUCUCCGGGGUAGAGCACUGUUUCGGCUAGGGGGCCAUCCCGGCUUACCAACCCGAUGCAAACUGCGAAUACCGGAGAAUGUUAUCACGGGAGACACACGGCGGGUGCUAACGUCCGUCGUGAAGAGGGAAACAACCCAGACCGCCAGCUAAGGUCCCAAAGUCAUGGUUAAGUGGGAAACGAUGUGGGAAGGCCCAGACAGCCAGGAUGUUGGCUUAGAAGCAGCCAUCAUUUAAAGAAAGCGUAAUAGCUCACUGGUCGAGUCGGCCUGCGCGGAAGAUGUAACGGGGCUAAACCAUGCACCGAAGCUGCGGCAGCGACGCUUAUGCGUUGUUGGGUAGGGGAGCGUUCUGUAAGCCUGUGAAGGUGGCCUGUGAGGGUUGCUGGAGGUAUCAGAAGUGCGAAUGCUGACAUAAGUAACGAUAAAGCGGGUGAAAAGCCCGCUCGCCGGAAGACCAAGGGUUCCUGUCCAACGUUAAUCGGGGCAGGGUGAGUCGACCCCUAAGGCGAGGCCGAAAGGCGUAGUCGAUGGGAAACGGGUUAAUAUUCCCGUACUUGGUGUUACUGCGAAGGGGGGGACGGAGAAGGCUAUGUUGGCCGGGCGACGGUUGCCCCGGUUUAAGCGUGUAGGUGUGUGUUCCAGGUAAAUCCGGUUCACUUUAACACUGAGGCGUGAUGACGAGGCACUACGGUGCUGAAGUAACAAAUGCCCUGCUUCCAGGAAAAGCCUCUAAGCAUCAGGUAACAUCAAAUCGUACCCCAAACCGACACAGGUGGUCAGGUAGAGAAUACCAAGGCGCUUGAGAGAACUCGGGUGAAGGAACUAGGCAAAAUGGUGCCGUAACUUCGGGAGAAGGCACGCUGACACGUAGGUGAAGUGAUUUACUCACGGAGCUGAAGUCAGUCGAAGAUACCAGCUGGCUGCAACUGUUUAUUAAAAACACAGCACUGUGCAAACACGAAAGUGGACGUAUACGGUGUGACGCCUGCCCGGUGCCGGAAGGUUAAUUGAUGGGGUCAGCGCAAGCGAAGCUCCUGAUCGAAGCCCCGGUAAACGGCGGCCGUAACUAUAACGGUCCUAAGGUAGCGAAAUUCCUUGUCGGGUAAGUUCCGACCUGCACGAAUGGCGUAAUGAUGGCCAGGCUGUCUCCACCCGAGACUCAGUGAAAUUGAACUCGCUGUGAAGAUGCAGUGUACCCGCGGCAAGACGGAAAGACCCCGUGAACCUUUACUAUAGCUUGACACUGAACAUUGAGCCUUGAUGUGUAGGAUAGGUGGGAGGCUUUGAAGUGUGGACGCCAGUCUGCAUGGAGCCGACCUUGAAAUACCACCCUUUAAUGUUUGAUGUUCUAACGUGGACCCGUUACCCGGGUUGCGGACAGUGUCUGGUGGGUAGUUUGACUGGGGCGGUCUCCUCCUAAAGAGUAACGGAGGAGCACGAAGGUUGGCUAAUCCUGGUCGGACAUCAGGAGGUUAGUGCAAUGGCAUAAGCCAGCUUGACUGCGAGCGUGACGGCGCGAGCAGGUGCGAAAGCAGGUCAUAGUGAUCCGGUGGUUCUGAAUGGAAGGGCCAUCGCUCAACGGAUAAAAGGUACUCCGGGGAUAACAGGCUGAUACCGCCCAAGAGUUCAUAUCGACGGCGGUGUUUGGCACCUCGAUGUCGGCUCAUCACAUCCUGGGGCUGAAGUAGGUCCCAAGGGUAUGGCUGUUCGCCAUUUAAAGUGGUACGCGAGCUGGGUUUAGAACGUCGUGAGACAGUUCGGUCCCUAUCUGCCGUGGGCGCUGGAGAACUGAGGGGGGCUGCUCCUAGUACGAGAGGACCGGAGUGGACGCAUCACUGGUGUUCGGGUUGUCAUGCCAAUGGCACUGCCCGGUAGCUAAAUGCGGAAGAGAUAAGUGCUGAAAGCAUCUAAGCACGAAACUUGCCCCGAGAUGAGUUCUCCCUGAGACUUAAAGUCUCCUGAAGGAACGUUGAAGACGACGACGUUGAUAGGCCGGGUGUGUAAGCGCAGCGAUGCGUUGAGCUAACCGGUACUAAUGAACCGUGAGGCUUAACCCU
rnacentral:rRNA from 1 species